AACCUCCGCAAUGUGAGAAAUCGCGACGGGGGGAUCCCAAGUGUCAUUCUUAACGGGAUGGCUUUUCAUUAGUGUAAAGAGCUUUUGGAAUAAGGGCUGGGCAAGACCGGUGCCAGCCGCCGCGGUAACACCGGCAGCUCUAGUGGUAGCAGUUUUUAUUGGGCCUAAAGCGUCCGUAGCCGGUUUAAUAAGUCUCUGGUGAAAUCCUGUAGCUUAACUGUGGGAAUUGCUGGAGAUACUAUUAGACUUGAGACCGGGAGAGGUUAGAGGUACUCCCAGGGUAGAGGUGAAAUUCUGUAAUCCUGGGAGGACCGCCUGUUGCGAAGGCGUCUAACUGGAACGGUUCUGACGGUGAGGGACGAAAGUUAGGGGCGCGAACCGGAUUAGAUACCCGGGUAGUCCUAACUGUAAACGAUGCGGACUUGGUGUUGGGGUGGCUUUGAGCUGCUCCAGUGCCGAAGGGAAGCUGUUAAGUCCGCCGCCUGGGAAGUACGGUCGCAAGACUGAAACUUAAAGGAAUU
rnacentral:rRNA from 1 species